rnacentral:rRNA from 1 species
AUGGCCAACCACGGAGUCGCCGCUCUCCUGAUCGCGUCCCUGCUCGUGGUGGCAGUCACCCUCGCCGACGGCAGGAUCACCGUGCAGGUGCAGCGGCACAGCGUUAGCCGAGGGUAUGCGGCGAAGGCGGUGCCGGCGCUGACGUGCAACAAGGUGAAUGCGGUGCAGACGGGCGACACCUGCUCCUCCAUCGCGGACGGCGCCGGUCUGGCCCAGGAGGAUUUCCUGGGCUUCAACCCUAAUAUCAACUGCGAAAAGAUCUUCCUUGGCCAGUGGGUCUGCCUCGACGCAUCUGCUGCUUAA